rnacentral:rRNA from 1 species
GAGGGAAUCUUCCGCAAUGGGCGAAAGCCUGACGGAGCAACGCCGCGUGAGUGAUGAAGGUCUUCGGAUCGUAAAACUCUGUUAUUAGGGAAGAACAAAUGUGUAAGUAACUAUGCACGUCUUGACGGUACCUAAUCAGAAAGCCACGGCUAACUACGUGCCAGCAGCCGCGGUAAUACGUAGGUGGCAAGCGUUAUCCGGAAUUAUUGGGCGUAAAGCGCGCGUAGGCGGUUUUUUAAGUCUGAUGUGAAAGCCCACGGCUCAACCGUGGGAGGUCAUUUGAAACUUGAAAACUUGAGUGCAGAAGAGGAAAGUGGAAUUCCAUGUGUAGCGGUGAAAUGCGCAGAGAUAUGGAGGAACACCAGUGGCGAAGGCGACUUUCUGGUCUGUAACUGACGCUGAUGUGCGAAAGCGGGGGGAUCAAACAGG